CGCACACCUAUUGUUCACGGCGUAAUGCUGAAGAAACAACUUGUCCGGCUAUGCUUCUGUGAGUGCUCUGAGUUCCUCCACACUCCGUGACUGCGAGCAUCACGAAUAUCACGAAAGGAAGACAUCCUAUAUAUCUACGAAGCGACAAGGAGCUGGUGCCGACGAUGGAUCUUGCCACCAACGGGGUGGAGACAUCGACAAACUACAUAUAAGCCACCGGCGCGAACUAGAAACUAGCACCACGCCGCCGCCGGUCGAAGGUGGCAUGGCGCACGCCUAUACCGUCGUCGCCCCGAACGCCUGCGCAUACGCAAUGGCAGCAAAGGCAGCGUGCCUUCUGUCCACGUCAAUUUGAAUUCUCAAUGGCUGUGCCAGUGGCCAGGCAGGCAGCUCGUUGCGUCGUCCUCAAUUUGAGUAGAACUCUUUUCGCAAGCCUCCAGGUUGCUGCCCCGUAGGUGAGUACAGGUAAGACACAG